GACGAACGCUGGCGGCGUGCUUAACACAUGCAAGUCGAACGCUGAACCCGCUUCGGUGGGGGAUGAGUGGCGAACGGGUGAGUAACACGUGGGCAACCUGCCCCCGGCUCUGGGAUAACUCCAAGAAAUUGGGGCUAAUACCGGAUGUGACCGCUGGCCGCAUGGUCUGGUGGUGGAAAGGGUUUCCGGCUGGGGAUGGGCCCGCGGCCUAUCAGCUUGUUGGUGGGGUAGUGGCCUACCAAGGCGACGACGGGUAGCCGGCCUGAGAGGGUGACCGGCCACACUGGGACUGAGACACAGCCCAGACUCCUACGGGAGGCAGCAGUGGGGAAUAUUGCGCAAUGGGCGGAAGCCUGACGCAGCGACGCCGCGUGGGGGAUGACGGCCUUCGGGUUGUAAACCUCUUUCAGCAGGGACGAAGCGCAAGUGACGGUACCUGCAGAAGAAGCACCGGCCAACUACGUG
rnacentral:rRNA from 1 species